AACUUUCGACAAUGGAUCACUUGGCUCUCGCAUCGAUGAAGAACGCAGCGAAAUGCGAUACGUAAUGUGCAUUGCAGGAUUCCGUGAAUAAUCGAAUCUUUGAACGCACCUUGCGCCUCUUGGUAUUCCGAGGGGCAUGCCUGUUUGAGUGUCAUUGAAUCAUCAAAAGAAAAGCUUUAACGGUUUCUCUUUUGGUAUUGGAGUGUGCUGGCCUUUUGCUUGUCAUGAAUCCCAGCUCCUCUGAAAUACAUUAGCGAUGCAACGUCCGCAUGGCACCACGCCUUUCCGGCAUUGAUAGUAUUCUUCAUGCCUGGGUGUGCUGUGCAGCUGUGGAAAGUUUUGCUCGCUCAUAGCUGGACGGGUCGACCCCAUCCCUUGACCAAUUUAACCUCAAAUCAGGUAGGAUUACCCGCUGAACUUAAGCAUAUCAAUAAGCGGAGGCU
rnacentral:misc_RNA from 1 species